UAGGAACCAAUACUAAACGUGUUCUGAAUAUUUAAUUUGCGUUGAAAAGCUAAAUCAAACGAUUUCCGUACGGAACUAACUUAAUUAAAUUAGUUUCGCACAAAAUGUGUCGGACAUUUUGAAUCUUUCAUUAUGAUUAAAAAUUAGAAUUUCUUAUGAAUCUUAAAUUAUGUAAUAAAUGGUUUAGAAAAGAUAAAAGAAAUUUGUUUUUAGUAUUAUAUUGUGGCUAAUAAAGCAGCUAAAAAGUCCUUCCAGUCAGUUGCAACAACAAUUAAAGCAGCAGGAAACAACCAAGUACACAUGCAAGUGACAAUGAGGAUUGCAAAAGUUUUAAAUAUCAGAAACUGAAGAAGGAAUUGAUAAUUAGCAGAUAACAAAAAAGCGCAAAAGUACUGAUUAUACAACUCUUUUAAAGUUGAGGAAGAAUUUUAUGUGGAAUGUUAAUGCAGAAGGUACGAAUAUUGACAGUUAAACCAUCACCACCUCCACAGCCACCUUAUCUCAAGCAUUCAAUUGCAUUCUAAGUUAUCUUUAUUCAAAUCAAGUGUGGCUAUUAUACCAAAAGACUGUAGAAUGGACCAAUCAAAUUGUAGCUAACCCAUCAGUACUUGCAAAGUCUUCUUUUCUGUUAGCCCGAAAAUUGAGUUCUAAAAUACCAUUAUGCACAAAACUACUAUAUCAAAGCACAAACUAAUGGAUUGAUCAAUGAAACUGUCGGUAUCUCCACAACUUUUCAAUUAAAUAGAAAGUUUCAAUCAAACAGGAUACUGAGUGUGCCUACUGCUCCUUAA